GAACUUCCUCUCCUGGCGGGCGCCGCCGCGGCGGCUGAGGGCUCGUGCUCGCGCAGCGAACUCUGGGGUCGGGGUCUGGCUUCCUGAAGUCCAAGGGAGGUGCUCAUGGACUCCAAGGAGUGAGAAGUCUUCAUUUCAUUUCUGUCCUCACCAGCUCCCCGGUUUGAGGGGGAGAUUCGGAGGAUCCAGACUCAGCCAGUAUUCUCUGACGAGGCCGAAAUUCUCUUGGCCCAAAGCCCCUUCUCCCACCAGACCCAGAAGUCUGGGCCUUGCCCUCUUGCCUGGAGCCCUCCCCAGUAAUAAAGCAAGCACAAGCCUUUCAUUUAUCUUUAUAUUGAGGUAAAAAAAAAAAAAUGAACGUUAUGGAUAUGGGGGUGGGAGAUGGGACAAGGCUUCCCUCUGUGAUUGACAGCAGGAGCUGAGGAAACCAGAAGCUCCGGGGAAUUAAAAAAUAUA